UACGUAGGGUGCAAGCGUUAAUCGGAAUUACUGGGCGUAAAGCGUGCGCAGGCGGUUUUGUAAGUCUGUCGUGAAAUCCCCGGGCUCAACCUGGGAAUUGCGAUGGAGACUGCAAGGCUAGAAUCUGGCAGAGGGGGAUGGAAUUCCGCGUGUAGCAGUGAAAUGCAUAGAUAUGCGGAGGAACACCGAUGGCGAAGGCAAUCCCCUGGGCCUGCACUGACGCUCAUGCACGAAAGCGUGGGGAGCAAACAGG
rnacentral:rRNA from 1 species